GUGGGGUGCGAGCGUUGUUCGGAAUUACUGGGCGUAAAGCGCGUGUAGGCGGCUCAUUAUGUCAGGUGUGAAAGCCCUCGGCCUAACCGAGGAAGUGCGCCUGAAACUGAUAGGCUUGAGUACGAGAGAGGAGGACGGAAUUCCCAGUGUAGAGGUGAAAUUCGUAGAUAUUGGGAGGAACACCGGUGGCGAAAGCGGUUCUCUGGAUCGAUACUGACGCUAAGACGCGAAAGCGUGGGGAGCAAACAGGAUUAGAUACCCUGGUAGUCCACGCCGUAAACGAUGGAUAUUAGUUGUUGCGAGUUUAACCCUCGCAGUGACGACGCUAACGCAUUAAAUAUCCCGCCUGGGGAUUACGGCCGCAAGGUUA
rnacentral:rRNA from 1 species